rnacentral:lncRNA from 1 species
AUGUCUUGAUGGAUCUUGUUGACCUUAAAAUCAAUCUGAUCCAAAGGCCAACAGAAUCCCGGCUACCUAUACAUGACAUGCACGCUUGGAACACACUAUUAGGGUUCAAAGGUCACCUACCCAGAAAAAGUCCGGCAAUAUUUUGCACUCCAAUGAUCAAAUCAAUAGUCGGACAAGAGACAAUGGGUGCAAGAGACGGGUGAGAAGGAUUUGUCUAGGGUUAAUAUAUAUAUAUAUAUAUAUAUAUAUAUAUAUAUAUAUAUAUAUAUAUAUAUAUAUAUAUUGUGUGAAAUGAAUUUACACACAUAUUGAAGAAAGGAAAUGAGCCAGCUGCGGCCAAUACACCGAGUCCACGCUCUAGCCCAAGACGAGGUUAAUUACUUGAUUCGAAGAUCCAAUCCAAUUAACAUAAUCGAUGUCGAGUCGGAAAAUGUAGCACCCCCUCUAUCACUUGCAUGCCACAUAAUAUACCUAUAUAACAGAUCUAGUAGCGAAAUGUGUAACAAUCUAUGCCGCUGUAUCUGACGUACGGCAAUGAAGUUGGUUGUUGAAUUCACAUAUGCUAAUACUCUCAUUAUUUCCCCUAGUUAUGUGCAUAUAGAGUUAGUAAAACUCGUCUAUUAU